rnacentral:SRP_RNA from 14 species
GCUGGGCGCUGUGGUGCACGCCUUUAGUCCCAGCUACUCGGGAGGCUGAGACAGGAGGAUCGCUUGAGUCCAGGAGUUCUGGGCUGUAGUGCGCUAUGCCGAUCGGGUGUCCGCACUAAGUUCGGCAUCAAUAUGGUGACCUCCCGGGAGCGGGGGACCACCAGGUUGCCUAAGGAGGAGUGAACCGGCCCAGGUCGGAAACGGAGCAGGUCAAAACUCCCGUGCUGAUCAAUAGUGGGAUCGCGCCUGUGAAUAGCCACUGCACUCCAGCCUGGGCAACAUAGCGAGACCCUGUCUCU